rnacentral:rRNA from 1 species
AUUGAACGCUGGCGGCAGGCCUAACACAUGCAAGUCGAACGAGUGGCGGACGGGUGAGUAAUGUCUGGGAAACUGCCAGAUGGAGGGGGAUAACUACUGGAACCGGUAGCUAAUACCGCAUACCAUCGGAUGUGCCCAGAUGGGAUUAGCUGGUAGGUGGGGUAACGGCUCACCUAGGCGACGAUCCCUAGCUGGUCUGAGAGGAUGACCAGCCACACGGGAACUGAGACACGGUCCAGACUCCUACGGGAGGCAGCAGUGGGGAAUAUUGCACAAUGGGCGCAAGCCGGAUGCAGCCAUGCCGCGGGUAUGAAGAAGGCCUUCGGGUUGUAAAGUACUUUCAGCGAGGAGGCGUUACUCGCAGAAGAAGCACCGGCUAACUCCGUGCCAGCCGCCGCGGUAAUAC